UCUUGCAUACAGUACCUCUGUUGUAACGAGUGGUUAUUUGAGUUACUGUUGCCCCUCACUGAAGCCAAGGAGGGCUGAGCCUGGUCAGUACCUGGAUGGGAGACCACAUGGGAAAACUAGGUUGCUGUUGGAA
rnacentral:rRNA from 1 species